rnacentral:tRNA from 1 species
GUGUCAGUAGUUCAGGGGUAAAAUUCUCGCCUUCUAAGGGGGAGAGCUAGGCUCGAUUCCCAGCUGACGCA